rnacentral:rRNA from 1 species
UACGUAGGGGGCAAGCGUUGUCCGGAUUUAUUGGGCGUAAAGAGCGUGUAGGCGGUCCGGUAAGUCCGCUGUGAAAGUCGGGGGCUCAACCCUCGAAUGCCGGUGGAUACUGUCGGGCUAGAGUGCGGAAGAGGCGAGUGGAAUUCCUGGUGUAGCGGUGAAAUGCGCAGAUAUCAGGAGGAACACCGGUGGCGAAGGCGGAUCUCUGGGCCUUACCUGGCGCUCAGGUGCGAAAGCUAGGGGAGCGAACAGG